rnacentral:rRNA from 1 species
CAAUAGCGUAUAUUAAAGUUGUUGCAGUUAAAAAGCUCGUAGUUGGAUUUCUGAAUUGAAUAUCCGGUCCGCUCGUCUCUGAUGAGUGUGUUCUUAUGGAUAUUGGAUUCAUUUUUUGUGAGGACAUUUAUCUGUCAUUAAGUUGAUGGAUUUAUAGACUUGCAUCGUUUACUGUGAAAAAAUUAGAGUGUUUAAAGCAGGCGUUCGCCCAUUUGAAUACAUUAGCAUGGAAUAAUAAGAUAUGACUUUGGUGGUCUAUUUUGUUGGUUUGCACACCAGAGUAAUGAUUAAUAGGGACAGUUGGGGGUAUUCAUAUUUCAACGUCAGAGGUGAAAUUCUUAGAUCGUUGAAAGAUGACCUUAGGCGAAAGCAUUUACCAUGGAUGUUUUCAUUAA